GUCCACGCCCUAAACGAUGGAUACUAGGCGUAAGAGGUAUUUACCCCUCUUGUGCCGCAGCUAACGCAUUAAGUAUCCCGCCUGGGGAGUACGGCCGCAAGGUUGAAACUCAAAUGAAUUGACGGGACCCCCGCACAAGCGGUGGAGCAUGUGGAUUAAUUCGAUACUAACCGAAGAACCUUACACAGACUUGACAUCGACGGAAAGCCUUAGAAAUAAGGCCCUCUCCCACAAGGAGACCAGAAGACACUUGUUGCAUGGCUGUCGU
rnacentral:rRNA from 1 species